UCCGUAGGUGAACCUGCGGAAGGAUCAUUAAUGAAUUCUGAAAGGGGUUGUUGCUGGCCGUCAGCGGCAUGUGCACGCCCUGAUCAUUAUCCACUUCACACACCUGUGCACACACUGUAGGUCGGUUUGUGGCUGGAGUGGGCACUCUGUGUGUCUGCUUUGGUUGUAGGCCUUCCUAUGUUUUAUUACAAACUACUUCAGUUUAAAGAAUGUCACUCUUGCGUCUAACGCAUUUAAAUACAACUUUCAGCAACGGAUCUCUUGGCUCUCGCAUCGAUGAAGAACGCAGCGAAAUGCGAUAAGUAAUGUGAAUUGCAGAAUUCAGUGAAUCAUCGAAUCUUUGAACGCACCUUGCGCUCCUUGGUAUUCCGAGGAGCAUGCCUGUUUGAGUGUCAUGGAAUUCUCAACUCUAUUUGCUUUUGUGAAUAGAGCUUGGACUUGGAGGUUUAUUGCCGGUAUGUCUGUGAUCGGCUCCUCUUGAAUGCAUUAGCUCGAACCUUUGUGGAUCAGCUAUCGCUGUGAUAAUUGUCUACGCCGUUGCUGUGAAGCAUGUUAAUGGGGAUCGGCUUCUAAUCGUCCUUUUACUCGAGGACAAUCACUUUGACCUUUUGACCUCAAAUCAGGUAGGGUUACCCGCUGAACUUAAGCAUAUCAAUAAGCGGAGGA
rnacentral:rRNA from 1 species